UGGGGAAUAUUGCGCAAUGGGGGAAACCCUGACGCAGCGACGCCGCGUGUGGGAUGAAGGUCUUCGGAUUGUAAACCACUGUCGCGAGGGACGAAGCUCUGACGGUACCUCGAAAGGAAGCACCGGCUAACUCUGUGCCAGCAGCCGCGGUAAUACAGAGGGUGCGAGCGUUGUCCGGAAUCACUGGGCGUAAAGGGCUCGUAGGCGGCCCCGCAAGUCAGGCGUGAAAUCCCCGGGCUUAACCUGGGAAUGGCGCUUGAAACUACGGGGCUGGAGUAUGGCAGAGGGAGGUGGAAUUCCACGUGUAGCGGUGAAAUGCGUAGAGAUGUGGAGGAACACCGAUGGCGAAGGCAGCCUCCUGGGCCAAUACUGACGCUCAUGCACGAAAGCGUGGGGAGCAAACAGGAUUAGAUACCCCCGUAGUCCCUGAGCGGGCUGGCAAGGCGCAU
rnacentral:rRNA from 1 species